AAAAAGCUCGUAGUUGGAUUUCUGCGGGGGACGAACGGUCCACCUUAUGGGUGAGUAUCUGUCAGGCCCUUGCAUCCUCGUGGGGAACGUCGCUGCGCUUUAUUGCGUGGUACGGAAUCCACGACUUUUACUUUGAGGAAAUUAGAGUGUUCACGGCAGGCAAACGCCCUGAAUAUGUUAGCAUGGAAUAAUAAUAUAGGACUUUGGUUUUAUUUUGUUGGUUUCUAGAACUAAAGUAAUGAUAAAUAGGGACAGUUGGGGGUAUUUGUAUUAAUGCGUCAGAGGUGGAAUUCUUGGAUUGCAUUACGACAAACUACUGCGAAAGCAUUUACCAAGGAUGUUUUCAUUAAUCAAGAACGAAAGUAUGGGGAUCGAAGACGAUUAGAUACCGUCGUAGUCUAUACCAUAAACUAUGCCAACUAGGAAUCUUGGGGAUGUAUAAUCUAUGACUCCCAAGGCGCCUUAGAGAAAUUAAAGUUUUUGGGUUCCGGGGGGAGUAUGGUCGCAAGGCUGAAACUUAAAGGAAUUGACGGAAGGGCACCACCAGGAGUGGAGCCUGCGGCUUAAUUUGACUCAACACCGGAAAACUUACCAGGUCCAGACAUAGAUAGGAUUGACAGAUAGAUAGCUCU
rnacentral:rRNA from 1 species